AGGAGUGCUAAUACCGCAUGAUGCAGUUGGGUCGCAUGGCUCUGACUGCCAAAGAUUUAUCGCUCUGAGAUGGCCUCGCGUCUGAUUAGCCAGUUGGCAGGGUAACGGCCUACCAAAGCGACGAUCAGUAGCCGACCUGAGAGGGUGACCGGCCACAUUGGGACUGAGACACGGCCCAAACUCCUACGGGAGCAGCAUG
rnacentral:rRNA from 1 species